rnacentral:rRNA from 1 species
CCUACGGGGGGCUGCAGUGAGGAAUAUUGGUCAAUGGACGAGAGUCUGAACCAGCCAAGUAGCGUGAAGGAUGACUGCCCUAUGGGUUGUAAACUUCUUUUAUAUGGGAAUAAAAUGUGCCACGUGUGGGAUGUUGUAUGUACCAUAUGAAUAAGGAGCGGCUAACUCCGUGCCAGCAGCCGCGGUAAUACGGAGGAUCCGAGCGUUAUCCGGAUUUAUUGGGUUUAAAGGGAGCGUAGGUGGAUUGUUAAGUCAGUUGUGAAAGUUUGCGGCUCCACCGUAAAAUUGCAGUUGAAACUGGCAGUCUUGCGUACAGUACAGGUGGGCGGCCUUCGUGGUGUAGCGG